GAGUCCCCAAAUGCAAGAGUAGCAGAGGUUGUUUCGUUUCUACAAAAAGGUAAAACUUUUGUUUUGAAGCGCAAUCCUACCAGCGAGGACAGAUCAUUUUACUAGUUCUUAUAACACAUGAGAAGAAUCAAAGACGGAGGUCAAGAGGUGAAAGCCUCGGUCCUUCUCCCUGACCCCACAGACCCACUUAUCAGAGAAUCCAAUAAAGUUCUCGGAAAAUUGGGCUUGGCCCCUGCAUCUGGAAA